rnacentral:lncRNA from 1 species
AUUUCACAAAGUUGAACAGAUGGGUAAUUUAUAUUUAUAUACACUUUUAUGUGUAUAUAUAUACACAUAUAUAUUUAUGUAUAUGUAUUUAUAACAUAUUUGGAAUUGCUGUUGGUAAAGUCAUUUAAUGCAAUAAUUGAGCUUGAGUUAAUAGUUUAGUACUUUAGCUAUCAAUAUUUUUCCAGGUAAUUUUUCCAACAUUGGACACAGUUGGAGGCAGGAGUCUUACAAAAGAGGUAUUCCUUCUUGGGAAGAAGAGAGGUCCAGGCCCAUCAAUCCAUCCAAUAGUUGGAGCUCUCAUCCUCAAAAAUAGGGGUUUCUGGAAACCAGAUUCCUACUUUUGGCAAGGUAGGAGUAAGUCAUUUGUUGUGUGCUGAUUGGCUCUUAACAAAGCUUGUUGAGUUGUUUAGUAAGGAAGGAAAAAGGAGGAAGGGUUGAGGCCAACAUUUGGUACAUUUGGUUCCUUUCCCAGCUUUAUUUCAAACAACAUCAGGAUGUGAGGCUUCCAUCUCAUCCCAGACACUGCUUACUUGCCGUGGCCGAUGGGCCUAUUCAACUGCAAACCUCCAACAUCUGUCCUGUACUUUGGCCAGCAAGAUAUGAGCAAGGUCAAAUAGUCUCACGAUGUGGUUUGCGUGUUAGCACUGAGUCAUCUGCGCAGUUCCUGAAGAAUUAAUUUGGAGGAGAAAGCAGAAGAAGCUGCCCUGAGUCACCACAUCUGAUCUGCCAGAAUUACGCUGAGGAGAGCGAACACCUCUGAGUCUGGUGCAAAUCUUGCCGCUGCUGAACAUCUGGCUGGUG